rnacentral:lncRNA from 1 species
GGUUCAUUCAUUAGUUAAAAUUUGAGUUAAAAUCAAUGGUUUAAAUCUACUAUAAGAAUUAUUUGGAAUUAAUUAGGAUUUAGUUUUGGAUUAGGAUUAGGAUUUUAGAUUGAUUUAAGAUUUUUUUAGGGUUAGGAUUUGGUUAAGAUUAGGAUUUAGUUUAAACUAAGAUUUGAUUAGGAUUUAUCUAGGAUUUGACUAAGAUUUGUUUAAGAUUUGAUUAAGGCUUAUUUAGGGUUUGUCUAGGAUUUGACUAGAGUUUAUUUAAGGUGUGAUCAAGAUUUAUUUGAGAUUUGAUUAUGAUUUGUCUAGGGUUUGGUUAGGGCUUAUUUAAGAAUUAAUUAGGAUUUAACAGGGAUUUGGCUAAGUUUUGACUAAGAUUUGAUUAAAUUUUGAUUAGAUUUUUAUUAGGAUUUAAUUAUUUUUUAUUUUAAUAUUAUAUUAAGAUUUCUAUUUUA